UAAGUCCCGCAACGAGCGNAACCCCUGUCCUAUGUUGCCAGCAUUUAGUUGGGGACUCUAAGGAGACUGCCGGUGACAAACCGGAGGAAGGCGGGGACGACGUCAAGUCAUCAUGGCCCUUACGAGUAGGGCUACACACGUGCUACAAUGGCAAGUACAGAGGGCCGCAAAGCCGCGAGGUGGAGCUAAUCUCACAAAGCUUGUCGUAGUCCGGAUUGGAGUCUGCAACUCGACUCCAUGAAGUCGGAAUCGCUAGUAAUCGUGAAUCAGAAUGUCACGGUGAAUACGUUCCCGGGCCUU
rnacentral:rRNA from 1 species